UUGCACGCUGGCGGCAGGCCUAACACAUGCAAGUCGAGCGGAUGAAGGGAGCUUGCUCCUGGAUUCAGCGGCGGACGGGUGAGUAAUGCCUAGGAAUCUGCCUGGUAGUGGGGGAUAACGUCCGGAAACGGGCGCUAAUACCGCAUACGUCCUGAGGGAGAAAGUGGGGGAUCUUCGGACCUCACGCUAUCAGAUGAGCCUAGGUCGGAUUAGCUAGUUGGUGGGGUAAAGGCCUACCAAGGCGACGAUCCGUAACUGGUCUGAGAGGAUGAUCAGUCACACUGGAACUGAGGCACGGUCCAGACUCCUACGGGAGGCAGCAGUGGGGAAUAUUGGACAAUGGGCGAAAGCCUGAUCCAGCCAUGCCGCGUGUGUGAAGAAGGUCUUCGGAUUGUAAAGCACUUUAAGUUGGGAGGAAGGGCAGUAAGUUAAUACCUUGCUGUUUUGACGUUACCAACAGAAUAAGCACCGGCUAACUUCGUG
rnacentral:rRNA from 1 species